UAUGUGUCAUAAAACGGUUUUCUUCUUUUGAUUUUUUUCUAAUCAUUUAGAAAUGUGAAAACUACCUUUAGUCUGUGUGCCAUACAGAAGCAAGUGACUGGCCCUUUCUUGCUCCAAAUCAUCCAUUCAUCCUUAGAGACCUAAGUCUAUGACUGUUUCUAGCCACAAAGUUACAGAAUUGUGAGAGUUCUCUUUCCAACCCUUCCUUCUCCUGGAUUUACACACACACACAUACAGGGACAUAUACUCCUGAUUACCCCAAAGUCCUGCCCUAGUAAGCUGGCCACCCUCUCCCAAAGUUCCAUAAGUUCAAAUAUUACUUCUAUUUUGUUUAAUUCUAUUUCUUGGAGCAUCUGAUUAUCUGAAUGAAUUAAUUCACAUUAAAGAGUGAUUAGUAGGGAUCAACUCUCCCUUUGAUAAUUUCCAUUUAAAAGAACAUGCACCAGUGAGGCUAACGGAAUGCUGAGGAAAACAUUUUUGAGUGGCUGGUUACCUAGCUCUUCAUUUAGGAAGUUGAUUGUGGUAUUAUAAGGCUUGCCAAGAAGGCUAAGAUGAUUUAUCUACUGAUGCUCACAAUCAGGGAGGCAGAACAAUUGUGGUACAAGAAAAAAUAAAAAUUCAAAUCAGAGGCUAUUAACUGCCAAGAAAAUGAUAAAGAAAUUAAAUAACUAAAUUAUGAUAAGGACAAAAAUAAUUGCUCAAUGUUACCAAGCCUAGGCAGUCAGGGACAUUUGUCUGCGUGUUGGUAGACAUAGGACCUUGCCUUCUUCCCCUUAUGGAUAAUGGCUUCACAAUAUCCUCAAGGUCUUAAGCCUUUGAUCCAGUCGAGGUCACUACUUCAUGGUUUUACUUGUGCAUAAAUAGUAAAAAGAAAAAUAAAAUUUAAACAAUUGAGCUUAGAGGGAGUUCUUGAGCCAUUUACUAAAUUUCUAGAGAUUUGUAAAGCUCCAAACAAAUGCAUUCAUGAGUCCUUUAGCACAUGACUGAACCUGGAAGUUUCACCACUAACUCCAAGGUAACCCUGGACAGGCAAAGAGAAAUAGGGCAAUGGAGGGUUGAUGUGAAAGCAUUUCCUGCAAAGGUAUCCUCUCACCAGGUAGACAAAGAAAGAUAAGUUACCCAGACUGAAGUUGCAAGAGUCUUUUUUCCUGAAAAUCACAUCCUAAACCCCUGGGACAGUAAAACUCUUCACUGAGGUCUCAUAGAAAGGUGGUCUUGAGAAACUAAAACAAGCUUUGACCUAGGAGCUGCCAGCCAGCAGGUUUUCUCUUGUGGCAGUGUUUGCCUGCCAUCCAUCCAACCCUGACCAGAGGCUUCAAAAGCUGGAGCUCAACUCUACCCAAAGCACAUGGGACGCUGGAGGAUAGGUCUGCCCAUGAAAUGCCAGGAAAUCCCAGAGCUAGGAGAGGUAGCUUAAAGGUCAACAUCUGGGCAUCAGGGUGCUGCUUAAAGCAAGUGGUGAAAAACACAUCUUACCUCUAUGUUCUAAAAAUUGCCCCCCAAAUAUCUUUGUCUUUAAUCAUCCAAUUUUCAUUUCAAAGCCAAGCGCUAAUAGGAUAUUAAAAUAAUAUGCACAUUACUAACCCAGGCUAUUGGCAACUGCUGCUUGCUGCAAGCCCUUGACAUUGCCUCCCUGUAUCUAACCAUGGUUCUGCUUAGUCUGGCUUCCUGCCUUUGGCAAUGGGUUUGAUGGUUCAGAGAAAGGCAAAUUGCCUAGUUAAUUAAAAUCUGUACUUUUAAAAACAUUUUUUCUCUUAUAUUGCCAGCCGAAGUUAAAUGAGUACAACUUUCUUUUGAAAAGGCCAAAAAUAAAUUCUGGGCUUAAACAUUGUAAAUGAAAUUGCUGCCUUAAAUUCUAAGUUGCAGAAAAAUAAAGGCUUAUCAUGAAAAUUGUUAUUUAGCUGUAUCUGUGGGGGUGUGUGCACAAAGCAAUUAUUAACCUCCUUUAUAAAUGGGUAUGUCAGGAACUUUGAAGGAAGACCCAGAGUUUGGUGGCCAAAUGCCAGUGUGUGUUCAAUAUUCACAGUGAACUCUUCUCCCUCUGGUAGUUGUAAUUCUACGUCUGUUUCUAGCCUUUCUCACCUUGGUUAUAGCACUCUGCUAGGGUCACAGGGAUUUCCAAAAUCAACUGCAAGGGAGUAUUCUGAAUUCCUGUUGAUAAAUAAAUUAUGUCCCAAUUACAGGUGCUUUUCUGAAAUGUUACUCAAUGAAGAAAAAAAAGUGAAGCUCCUGAGCUCAGCAUAUCUUAUUUUGCUAUCGACUAUAUUUCUGUGUCUGUGUUCAAGUAACUAACUCCCUUUGGCAACUCCAAGGAGAGCUUCAGGUAAACAAGUCAAACUGUCUUCUUGUUUAUGCCUUUUUUGGAGAAAAAGUGAGAGUGCUAUAAUUUAAAAAAUUUAGAACAGUAACAAUGUCAUCUUGAAUUUACAAAGUGCAGGAGUUGUCAGAUCUGUGAUUUCAAGUCUUCCAACAACUCUUUUUGGGUAGGAGUAGUCAGGAGUCUGUGUGGUGGUUGAAGCCCAGGUUGGCCACCGGGAACUAAAAUAGAGGCCAGGACUCCUGGCUCCCUGUCCAGAUUCUGAGGACCCAGGAGCCUCCACGGGUACACUCAGAGGCCACACUAGAUGUAGAAAGAACCAGGCACAGAGAAGUCAGAGGGUCUCAAAGGCUGAACCAAAUGCCAGGAGAAUCUUUCAGAGUGUCCUGGAACACUGGAAAUAGCCUUAAAGCUUAAAUGAUGAAUCAGAAGAGUUAUGCUCUAUUCUAGUGCUGCCACUAGGACCUAACAAAAGGAAUGGAGGGUAAUCAUAUCAUUCUAAGACCCUUCCUUUGCAGUCCUGUAGUCACAACUCCAAAGACUCUGGGUUUUGGAGUAAGAGCUAUAACUGCUCAAGAAGAAUUUGUGACCAAAAGCACAUCUUUCUGAGGAGGCAGAAUAUCACAGGCCCAUGACACCUGAGUGCUGGAAGAGGCACUAGAGGCUGGCAAUAGAUUCCAACAUCUCAUAAACCAGGAAGCAGCCUCAGGGAGGUUGGCAGCUGCCAAAUCCAUAGGCUAAGCAGUGGUGGGGCCGAGAUUCGAAC